CGCUGACAAGCUUGUGUUUGGGACUGGAACUAAACUCACCGUGGAACCCAAGCGAAACAAACCCGUGAAUCCGAAGGUGACCAUGUUUUAUCCCGCCAUCAAAAGCAACCCACCUGCGAGUGACCCGGCAGCCCUCUGUCUGGCCGAUGAAUAUAUACCCAAAGAGCUAAGCAUCUUGGUGCAUGAUAUCAACGACAUGGAUCUGACGAAGAGCGCCACCACCUCCAGUUCAAUUGCAAUAAUCGACCAUAAGCUCUACCAUAAAACUUCGUUCCUCACCGUGCCUCAAGACACGACGGGAAUGAGGUGCAUCGUACAACACGAGGGGAAAAAUGUGAGCGCUGAGGCAAAGUACACACCGCCUCAGACAAGUGUGGCUACUGGUAAUGCAACUCAGGAUUGUGUGACUCAGGGAUCAGAAUCGAACUCAGAUUCGCUCCUCAACAUGUUCGCUCUGAAAAUUUUGGGGCUAAGAAUGAUUCUAUUCAAGUUCAUAGCGAGCGGCGGUUUGCUGACGGCAAGAAUUUGGAUUUCUAAAGGAUAAAAAGCUUUGAGGAUACGGACUUGGAAAUAAUCAGAAAGAUCUGCUGCACUUUUUAAAAGCAAUUUUAUUCUCUUUUGCUGCUAAAGCUUGUUUAAUAAACAUAAGAAUAAUCUGACCCGGCGCCCCGCUCUCCCCCGGGAGGACACCUCAAAGUGCUUCCCAGGUCUCCCUGUAAAAUGUAGUGACU